AUGCCUUCUGUUCCAACUUUAAGAAGCUUAAUUGACCUCUGUCUCCCAUCUUUCCCUCCAAAUGUACUCCUUUCUUUAGACCCCUCCUCCUACCACACAUCUCUGCUUAUUAUGAAUUCCCACCCAGCCUUAAAGAUUCAGCUCAAAUGCAACUCCACAACUCAUGUCUUCUUGAGUGAUAAUUAUUUGCAACGUACUCAUCCAGUCCUCAAGAGUCUCAUCCCAUCACUGCACCGGCUUGAAGUCCAGCAUCUCGUCAUCUGAGUGUGGCCCAGGCGAGAGUCUCCACAGGUCUAGUUCCUCAAGGAGAUGAAAUGGGUUCCUGCUCCAAGGAAAUUAAGGACAUCAAGGGCUCCCCACGUUGUGAAAGUUUCCCUUUUACCGCGGGGACCCAGAACACUGCCACUAUGGACCCCUCCCGUGUGGUGCAGAAAGUCAGCGCUCUUUACUGCAAUGCGGCAGAAAUAACCCUGAGGCCAGUUCUCAGACUGGGCUUCAAGAUGCUUUCUUUGCACACUUCCCGUCCAUCUAUGGAAGCCUCUGUGCCAUGAGAACAAGCCCAGCCUCAGCUGCUGGAGCAGGAGAGACCCUGCGGAAGAGAGAAGGGCCCAGCGGUCCCGGCCAAGGCCAACCCGGACCGUCCAGCCAACGCUCAAACAUGUGAGGAGACCCACCCGGGAUCAGCAGAGUUAAAAUUGAUUCAGACGUCCUGGCAGCAAUUUUUUUUUUGAAAUUUUUUUAACGUUUACUUAUUUUUGAGACAACGCAAGAGACAGAGCAUGAGCGGCAGACGGACAGACAGAGGGAGACAGAGAAUCUGAGGCGGGCAUCCGAACUGCGAGAUCAUGACCUGAGCCAAAUUCGAAUGCUCAACCGACUGAGCCACCAAGGCGCCCCGGGGGUGAUUUUGUAAUAUAGGAGUUGUAUUUAAAACACAUGGUGUGGUUUGACCCAGUCAUUACAAUUCCAGUCUCUCUUAUUCUAAAGAAAUUGUUUAAUGGAAAAAAUAAUUUAAGUGACAUUUUUUAUAAUAGCAAAAGUUUAGGGACACCUGGGUGGCUCAGUCAGUUAAGGGUCUGACUUUGGCCCAGAUCAUGAUCUCACAGUUCGUGAGUUCGAGCCCCGCGUCGGGUUCUGUGCUGACAGCUCGGAACCUGGAGCCUGCUUCGGAUUCUGUGUCUCCCUUUCUCUGCCCCUCCCCCACUCAAUCUCUCUCUCUCUCUCUCUCUCUCUCUCUCUUUCUCUCUCUCAAAAAAUAAAUAAACAUUAAGAAAAAUUAUAAUAGUAAAAGUCUGGAACAUCCUAGUGUUAAACAGUACUGGAAUGAUUAAAUUGGGGGGGCACAUAAACAGUGUAAUACUCUGUUAUAAAUGAUGAUAUAGCUCUAAAGGAAACUGUCCAUACUCUACCUUUCGGUCAACAAAACAAGUUAGAAAUCAUUAUACAUUUUGUAGUAUGAACUUGUUUUUGAAUAAGAUAAUAUACAACUAUUUUUUGCAUGGAAAAGUGUCUGGGAGAAAUAUAUAUAUAUGUUUGCCUAUAUAUGUAUGUAAAUUAUUAAUAGGGGUUUCCUCUGGGAAGGGGUUAUAUUUCUACACUGUACCUUUGUGUAUGUGAAUCUUUAAAAAUGAGUGUCUUAUUUUAUUUUA